rnacentral:rRNA from 1 species
GACGAACGCUGGCGGCGUGCUUAACACAUGCAAGUCGAACGGAAAGGCCCGGCUUUUGUUGGGUGCUCGAGUGGCGAACGGGUGAGUAACACGUGAGUAACCUGCCCUUGACUUUGGGAUAACUUCAGGAAACUGGGGCUAAUACCGGAUAGGAGCUCCUGCUGCAUGGUGUGGGUUGGAAAGUUUCGGCGGUUGGGGAUGGACUCGCGGCUUAUCAGCUAUUUGGUGGGGUAGUGGCUUACCAAGGCUUUGACGGGUAGCCGGCCUGGGAGGGUGACCGGCCACAUUGGGACUGAGGUACGGCCCAGACGGCAACGGGAGGCAGCAGUGGGGAAUAUUGCAGAAUGGGCGGAAGCCUGAUGCAGCAAUGCCGCGUGCGGGAUGACGGCCUUCGGGGUAUAAACCGCUUUCGACUGUAACGAAGCGUGAGUGACGGUAAUGGGUAAAGAAGCAACGGCUAACUACGUG